rnacentral:tRNA from 1 species
GUGAGCAUAACUCAGUUGGUUAGAGUAUCAGAUUGUGGCUUUGAAAGACACGGGUUCAAGUCCCGUUGUUCACC